rnacentral:rRNA from 1 species
CCAGACUCCUACGGGAGGCAGCAGUGGGGAAUAUUGCACAAUGGGGGAAACCCUGAUGCAGCGACGCCGCGUGGAGGAAGAAGGUCUUCGGAUUGUAAACUCCUGUCCUUGGGGACGAUAAUGACGGUACCCAAGGAGGAAGCACCGGCUAACUACGUGCCAGCAGCCGCGGUCAUACGUAGGAUCCGAGCAUUAUCCGGAGUGACUGGGUGUAAAGAGUUGCGUAGGUGGCAUAGUAAGUAGCUAGUGAAAUCUGGUGGCUCAACCAUUCAGACUAUUAGCUAAACUGCUAAGCUCGAGACCGUUAGGGGUAACUGGAAUUUCUAGUGUAGGAGUGAAAUCCGUAGAUAUUAGAAGGAACACCGAUAGCGUAGGCAGGUUACUGGGACGGUUCUGACACUAAGGCACGAAAGCGUAGGGAGCAAACGGGAUUAGAUACCCGCGUA